UUGGGGGAAAAAACAGUAACGGCAAGCCCAAAUCGUGGCCAGCAGCUCGUAGAAGGUAUUUCGGUGUCAACAGAAACUGCCACUGAUAGGUCAAGACAGAAACUGCUGCUGAUAUUCUGCCACACUUCAAAGUCAACUUCAUUAGUUGUUACAAAGAUUAAAGGCAGUGGCUUUGCUGCCACAUUGUUUUUAUUUAAAUCUGCAGUCCUCAUCCACACCAGCUGGGGGCGAUAAUGAGUGUUGUUCGAUUGUUGUUUUUUAACAAGAAGAAGAAGAAAAUGAAUCUGUAACCCGGAAGUUAAGCUUCACAACAAAAAAAUUGCCGGGUAAUCUUCUCCGUGAAACCAUAUCAAGCAGCCAAUGGACUUUUUAUUUCAUUUGAGUAAAUAGUGCGUUUGUCUUGAGACUUGUGUUGAACCACAGUGUGUCUCAACGUGGGUUUAACAUGGACGAAUAUGACGAACUGUUCGAGAUCCAGGAUGAGUUCGAGGACCAGUUCGCGGACGAGCUGGAGGUUCUGGCUCAGAUGGAGGGGGAGUCCCCAACAGACUUAAACUUUAUUUCUCAUUAACUCGUUUUAGCUUCUUUGUGCACAUCCUCAGCAGUUAACAAUCAAUACACAACUGAGCAGCUGUUCAUCUUAGGUGGACUUUGAGCUGGAGUCUCUGAUGGAGAGGAAGGAGGAGGAGCGGGAGGAGCUGAUGGACUGGUGGAAGAUGAUGUCAGAGACACUGAACUUCUGAAGCUCUCGUCUGCUUCGCGAUUGGACCGUUCACACGUCGAGUAUACUGUUGGCCAUAUCUCCAGCAACACAGCAAAGGGCAGACACACAGAGACUGAGGACACAUAAACGAAGGGGAGACAAGGAUCAAGCAGAGCUGGGCCACCCCACCGGAAAAGGUUUAGUUCCGUACAAUUUAAGGUUAAGGUUAAUUAAUUUAUGUUUGUGUAAAUAAAACAAUUUUGAAAAGGGAUUGGUUCGUGUGUGGCUGUUGUUGGGAGAACACAGAGGGAACGUCCCCUGCAAGAGACAAAUAACUCCGGGCUCUAGGGUUGAGUGGGUGGAUAGCGCCACAUUAAACAAAGAAACAUCAAUUACAAUCAAGAUAUGAUUGGAAAAAACGAAUAUGAAACAAGGUUUUUCAUCAGUAUUGACGUUUAUUUAUUGAACUUAAUCAGAAAUUGAACACAGUCAUAUGUCAGUCUACACACGAGCCCCAAUGAACAGAUACAGUAUCUAGAGAUGAUUUUUGAAGAGAGAAAAUCUUUGGAAGACAAUGCAGGGGAAGAGUUUAGAGAAUAUAGAGAUCAUGUUUCUGUCAAUUCAGAGUCUGACAGUGAGUUUGGGUUAGAAGAGGAUGAGAUUGACCAUAAGCCAGCUAUGUAAAAAGUUAUUCUGCAGCCAGUCCCAAAUCCAGGCCAGGCCAUCAGCAGCCAACAUAUGGAUGACAAAAAAUUAUGACAAUUUAAUGGUCUUUUUGCACUUUAGCCACCCCACAUGUCUACCAAUGUAAUAAUGUGCAAUCAGGGCCGACACAGAUAGCAGUGACUCAUGUGCAGGACAUCAAGCCUUCUUACGAACUUUCAUUACGAAAAUCAUUCUGGAUUGCACUAAUUUGGAGGGACAGCAUGUUUUCGUAGAAAGCUAGAAUGAGAUGGACCAAACCCAUUUAUUUGCAUACUUUGGGGUUAUUAUCCGUGCAGGAGUUUUCAAAUCCAAAGGGGAAUCAACAGAAUCCUUGUGGGAUGCAGUAACUGGCAGAGAACUUUUACGUAAAUGUGCAAGAAUGUGGGAGCAGAGGUGAUUGACAUAUACAAUUUAACACUUUAUGUAGUAGUCCUGGGUCCAGAGGACCCGAACAUCACAUAUGUAAUAUAAAUGUGUAGGGGGGGGGGGGGUGUAAAGUGUAAAGUCACUAAAUAUAUGUUCCUUUAUAUGUUCAUCACAGAAAAUGAGCCAAGGCCAAUGAGUCUCAGGUUGAAAAAAUAUUUAUUGCAUCAUUUUCCUCUUAGCAAACAUUGAAAACGGGUCCCACAGACCCGAACACCAUACAAGGGUUAAAGCAUUAAACUCCUCAGGUCAGAAAGAGCUACAUCUUCCACGCCCACCUUCUCCUGGUACGCAAACUGC